GAUGAAGAACGUAGCGAAAUGCGAUAAGUAGUGUGAAUUGCAGAAUUCCGUGAAUCAUCGAAUCUUUGAACGCACAUUGCGCCUUCUGGUAUUCCGGAAGGCAUGCCUGUUCGAGAGUCAUUAACAACCGUUUCGAUCCCUUUCUUUCAGAAAUUACAAAGAGGAAAAGGGUUUGGUUAUGGUGGAGGAGGGAAAGGGAGCGUUUAGCCUGUAAAAAAAGAGGCUGUGUUCCGCCUCCCCCCCAAAAUUGUACAGGCGGUCGUGUGCGCCCACGCAUCGAGGUGUUGUAAAAGCUGCCACGGCACUUUUCACCUGUGCAGAGCGAGAUUGGCCAGCCGGUUUAAAAACCCCUCCAAACAAUCAAAGGUUGACCUCGGAUCAGGUAGGGAUACCCGCUGAACUUAAGCAUAUCAAUAAGCGGAGGA
rnacentral:misc_RNA from 1 species